AAUGGAAUGACUGAAGUGAAGGUGAUAAAUUGUAAAUUUAUAUAUGAUUGGUAAAAUCUUCCAUUA
rnacentral:tRNA from 1 species